AGAACUGUUAAUCCGAGAAAUCGAAUGAUAGGGUAACGCCUUGAAAGGUUUCCUCUGAUACUCCGACAUGCAUCAAGAUACUAACCUAUCUUGAGGUAUGAAGCUCGGUGAAGUCGGCUGAGAGCCACCCUACACAUAUCCCUAAAGGAAUGUGAUGGAAAUGUGAACUAGAGGUAGUCAAGUGGUGACAGGUCGGGAGUCAAUA
rnacentral:ncRNA from 1 species